rnacentral:rRNA from 1 species
CCCUGGACAAGACUGACGCUCAGAUGCGAAAGCGUGGGGAGCAAACAGGAUUAGAUACCUGGUAGUACACGCUGUAAACGAUGUCGAUUUGGAGGUUGUUCCAUUGAGGAGUGGCUUCCGGAGCUAACGCGUUAAAUCGACCGCUGGGGAGUACGGCCGCAAGGUUAAAACUCAAAUGAAUUGACAGGGGCCCGCACAAGCGGUGGAGCAUGUGGUUUAAUUCGAUGCAACGCGAAGAACCUUACCUACUCUUGACAUCCAGAGAAUUUAGCAGAGAUGCUUUAGUGCCUUCGGGAACUCUGAGACAGGUGCUGCAUGGCUGUCGUCAGCUCGUGUUGUGAAAUGUUGGGUUAAGUCCCGCAACGAGCGCAACCCUUAUCCUUUGUUGCCAGCACGUUAUGGUGGGAACUCAAAGGAGACUGCUGGUGAUAAACCGGAGGAAGGUGGGGAUGACGUCAAGUCAUCAUGGCCCUUACGAGUAGGGCUACACACGUGCUACAAUGGCGUAUACAAAGAGAAGCGACCUCGCGAGAGCAAGCGGAACUCAUAAAGUACGUCGUAGUCCGGAUUGGAGUCUGCAACUCGACUCCAUGAAGUCGGAAUCGCUAGUAAUCGUAGAUCAGAAUGCUACGGUGAAUACGUUCCCGGGCCUUGUACACACCGCCCGUCACACCAUGGGAGUGGGUUGCAAAAGAAGUAGGUAGCUUAACCUUCGGGAGGGCGCUUACCACUUUGUGAUUCAUGACUGGGGUGAAGUCGUAACAAGGUAACCA